UCCCUUAGAUGUUCUGGGCAGCACGCGCGCUACAAUGGUCUUCGCAAACGGAUGCAUUCUCGAAGGAGAAUGCCAAUCUUGGAAUCUAUGCCUUGGUCGGGACAGUUGCUUGCAAUUUUUCGACUCGAACCAGGAAUUCCUUGUAAUCGUGAUUCAUCACAUCACGAUGAAUACGUCCCUGCCCUUUGUACACACCGCCCGUCGCUCCUACCGAUCGAAGAGUUAGGUGAAUUGUUUUGAUCGAUAAGAUUUGACUAUGGUCAACUCUCGUUGUGAAAUUCUGUGAAUCUGACUGUUUAGAGGAAGGAAAAGUCGUAACA
rnacentral:rRNA from 1 species